rnacentral:rRNA from 1 species
UACGGGGGGAGCAAGCGUUGUUCGGAUUUACUGGGCGUAAAGGGUGCGUAGGUGGCCAGGUAAGUUCGGUGUGAAAGCUCGGAGCUUAACUUCGAAAUGGCAUUGAAUACUAUCUGGCUAGAGGGUCGGAGGGGAGACUGGAAUUCUCGGUGUAGCAGUGAAAUGCGUAGAUAUCGAGAGGAACACCAGUGGCGAAGGCGAGUCUCUGGACGACUCCUGACACUGAGGCACGAAAGCCAGGGGAGCAAACAGG